AAUAGAUACCCUGGUAGUCCACGCCGUAAACGAUGAGUGCUAAGUGUUAGGGGGUUUCCGCCCCUUAGUGCUGCAGCUAACGCAUUAAGCACUCCGCCUGGGGAGUACGGUCGCAAGACUGAAACUCAAAGGAAUUGGCGGGGGGCCCGCACAAGCGGUGGAGCAUGUGGUUUAAUUCGAAGCAACGCGAAGAACCUUACCAGGUCUUGACAUCCCGCUGACCGCUAUGGAGACAUAGCCUUCCCUUCGGGGACAGCGGUGACAGGUGGUGCAUGGUUGUCGUCAGCUCGUGUCGUGAGAUGUUGGGUUAAGUCCCGCAACGAGCGCAACCCUUGUCCUUAGUUGCCAUCAUUCAGUUGGGCACUCUAAGGAGACUGCCGGCUAAAAGUCGGAGGAAGGUGGGGAUGACGUCAAAUCAUCAUGCCCCUUAUGACCUGGGCUACACACGUGCCACAAUGGACGGUACAAACGGUUGCGAAGUCGCGAGAUGGAGCUAAUCCGAAAAAACCGUUCUCAGUUCGGAUUGCAGG
rnacentral:rRNA from 1 species